CCGGAGGCUCAGGCCACCUUCUUGAAAUCAUGACUCCUGUUUAUAGCCCUGGGUCUUCUGGGGUUCCCUAUGCAAAUGCCAAAGGAAUUGGACAUCCAGCUGGUGUUCCUGUGGGCUACGCAGCAGCUCCUGCCUAUUCUCCUAGCAUGUACCCGGAGCAAAUCCUACCUUCCAAACAGGCUACACUCCUGGUACACCUUACAAAGUGUCCUGUUCCCCAACCAGCGGCGCUGUGCCACCAUACUCCUCCUCCCCCAACCCCGACCAGACGGCUGUGUACCCAGUGCGAAGUGCCUACCCCCAGCAGAGCCCGGAUGCCCAGUUGUCUCUGUUUUCCCCGCAGCAAGGCACGUACUAUACACAGCCUCUGUAUGCAGCACCCCCUUACGUCAUUCACCACACCACGGUGGUGCAGCCCAAUGGCAUGCCAGCAACUGUCUGCCCUGCUCCCAUCCCUCCUCCUAGAGGCAGCGGGGUCACCAUGGGCAUGGUUGCUGGGACCACAAUGGCCAUGUCCGCAGGUACCCUGUUGACUGCUCAUUCUCCAACUCCUGUCGCCCCUCACCCAGUCACUGUCCCCACAUAUCGAGCCCCAGGAACACCCACCUACAGCUAUGUGCCCCCUCAGUGGUGAUUACCCUGCGAAUUAAUAUUUGAGGACGGAGCUGUGCAGUCACUUCAUUGGGUUCCACAGCUGGUGCUGCAGGCCUUGUGCCUCCAACCAGGACUUUCUUCUUAAUGCUCUCGACACUUAGCUAAACACGACUGCGUC